ACAAUGGAUGCUUUCAGUACGCCGUACCCCUGGCAGUAGGGGGAACCCUGGUGCUGUUGAUGGUGUCUCUGAGCCUUGGUUGGAUUUGCUGCCCUUCCACUCAAGGAUUCCAGGCCCGUCGCUCAGCACCGCCAACCCUGGAGGAGCACCAGGAUGGGAUCGUAUACUGUCAGCUGGAUUUUGAUUCAAGGCAGCAUGGCCGGAGCAUGAUGGAGCGACCGGCGAGAGGGAAGAGUGAAAAAUCCUGACCUACCUGGUUCGGGGGAUCUGAACUGGCAACCUGACUGCUGAUCCAAAUGGGAUGAGCUGGAUUCUUCCUGGGUCCCAGGGCUCAUCUAGGCUCAAUCUCUGCGGUGAUCGAGCAAAAUGGGUAGAAAAACCAAAUUAGUUAAAUUAGUGUGAGCCCUGCAUAGGGACCCAGCUUUACAGCUAAUGAAAAGGCAUUGGGGUUAGUUAUAUUG